UAAUCUGCAAGACUAUAACUUUCACUUUCCAAACAGAUCUCAAAUUCCUGCCCUUGGCACAGCAUCAUAGAGGACUUGCUUUCACUCACAUGGAUUAACUCUCUCUGAACAGCUUACCAAGAUAAUUGGCACAGCCACUCCUUUUCUUCAAAGCUUGCUUUUGAUCACCUAUUUUCUUUCUUCCUCCAAUGAGUACAUAAUGAGCAACAGUGAGUACCUAACGUAUAACAGUGACUUUAAUUACCACCACAUCAACUGGCAAGAGUGUUUUCCAAGAUUGCCAAUUAAACAAAACAAGCAAAAGCAUGGCACAGUGCUGUAUAAAAGAUACCUGUAAGCAAGCUGCCCCAUGUACCAGCUGCAGUUCAGCAUGCUGCCACAUGCUCUGCCUCCCUCGUGAGAAAGGAGACACAGCAGCCCAGGGAGACAGCAUGCACACAAGGCCACCACACACUCAAACAGAGAUACAGGGAUGCAAGUUAUCUCCCCACAGCUACACAGAGUCCAUGACAGAGGGAGAAGCAGGGUUUGUAACAGCAGCUCCAAGCAGAACACAGCAGUAAGCUACACCUCGCUCUACAGCAUGGGUGAAGAAAAGAGAGAUGGAAGCCUGCAAGGAGCCGUGCUGCAAUACAGCACUGUCAGAGCUGACUCCUUCAGCAGCAGCACCCUGUGCAGUGCCCCUGCUCACCUAGCUCCAGGCUCACCGUGGAGCCGCCUCUGAUUCUUCACUCUGUACCCACUGCCAUUUCACUGGGAAUGCCUCCUCCCACAAACUGCUGCAGCCCUGAGGUUCAAAUGGCAGUAAGGUCUUCUAGCAAGGCCUGGGAGACAGCACUGAGCUGGGAAAACUAAGUUAUUAAGGACCACAUUGGUGCGGGUUUUUGUUUCGGCUGGAACAAAACUUAAAUCUCUUUCCCUGCCAUGGCUACUGUAAUACCGCACAACUACUCAUUAUCCUUAUCUUAACUAGAGAAGCUCCUUUCAAUUUAGCUUUUAAUGUAAUUAUGGCAAAUUAAAUCCUGUUCAGGAAAAAUCUUAUUUUACCAGAGCUAUUAUAUUACCUCUACAAAACUGUCAGUUAAAAGCUAUAAAACACUGGGGGUUUGUAUCUACUCAGCGAGCAGAAAAGUGAGUUAUUAAACUGAAAUUUACUUAAAUUCUAUUUCCAAAGUCAAUACCACAUCUCCAAGGGAAAAUGGUAGAUGCUCAAUGGCAGCACAAUGACCCUGGCAGUACUGCGACACUUGAACACCAAUUCUCUGUUCACUUCCAUUCACUUCAGUGAAGUUUCAUAAAUAUAUUUUAAUAUGAGGAUUUGUGUUUCACUAAAUAUGGCAAACAGUCAUCCUCGUGUCCUUUCAGCAAAAUUAGCUCUGGCUAGAGUUGUAUUGCUGAUGUGUGAGAGACACGUACAGAACAAAACAGUUGGCUGCCACAAAGUCAAGUGGAAAACACACAUUCACUUCAAGGGGUUCAGGAUGUCAAAUGUAGCAUGGAAAAUGAAACCAGAGAAGCCAGGAGGACACCAGAUAAGAAGCCAUGUGCAUUUACAUGUCACCUAAGAAACAUAUGGUAAGUGGUAAAAGCUUGAAGAACUGGGUAUUCCAAGCACUGACUCAAGCACAAAGGUUCCUGUUUCUAGUAGUCCUAUUACAGCCAAUGUGAUUUCAUUUGUGAGGACAAAUUGCAGAUAUGGAUUUCAUGCCUAUGCACAUCUUUGUCAUGGAAGACUGAAAAUUGCAAGCAGAGAUUUCUGGAAGCACAGUCUGUUUAAAGCAAUUAAUUUCUACACUAUUAUCCAGGGGGAGGUAGGUGGGGGUAGAAAUAGGCAACGCAUCUACAAGAGGUACCCAAGAAAGGUAGAUACAUCUCAGUAUGGUCAGUUUGUGUUCUUAUGAAUAAUAAAUGCUAGAUUGUAAUAUUUGAAUUGAUAUCAGAAUUUUAACAUGGUGCAAGCAUACCAGACAUAGGGAACAAAAUGUUAAGUAGGAAGUAUAUUUAUAAUAUCAUUGUUCAACAAUUGAAAGAACAUUAUCAAUAAUUAGCAGCAGGCACUGAAACUGCUUUCUGCUAACCAUAGUUGCCGGCCAUGGCAAGGUUGAUAUUAAUGCAAUAAAGUCAGGUGAUGACAGCUUUAUAGCAGAGAGCAACAUACUGGACGUUUCUGGGAAAAGAAUCUAGCACUGAGGGGAUUAUUUGGGUUAAAUGACUUCUGAGUCACAGCUGAUUGUUCAGUCUCUCUCUUGGUGUAUACCUCCCUUUUAUUUCCUCAUGAGGAUGUGUCUGUUUAGAGAAGAGGAAGAAAGUGGCACUGCUGCAGCCGCUCUUUGCUACUUUAGAGUUAACAUCCACUAUCUUGCUGACACAGUGAGAUUUCUCUCAUUUAUAUUACAGAGUAGCCUAGCCAAAGCCAAGGCCACAUUGCACAUUGCCACAUUGUGUGAACUUACAGAAUGCAGACCUUGACACCAAGGAACCUGUAAUCCAAGCAGACACAAGCCAAGACAAAAAGAGACAAAAAAGGCACAUGGAGGCAAUGUGACAUACCCAUGGCCACAUACUUUA